GCAGCGAACAAGAGUGCAUUCAAGUAUGCGAUUGACAGAUGCUCAAAUCUACGAUAUAUUGUAUUUGGAAGAGAUGAAUCGUGUUUGAUAUUUUCAUAUUUUUCUAUGAAGGAUAACUUUUUGUUCCCAUUAUCCUUCACGUAUCACGUGAAAAUUAAAUAUCGAUAUUUGGACGCUUAUAUCGGUUAGAUGACGGCGAUACGCCGUGUGUUAACAGGUCAUGGGGGCCUGUUUCGGCCGCUGUAUUUCCAAAGUUACAGACUCCUUGUCAUACAGGUUUUAUCAAAGACAUACCAGUAUGUCCUACCAAGGAGACGAACAAGUUGAGUUUAUAGAUGACAAAGGAGGUACAGAUCAAUCUAGAGGAUCAAAAACCCUGUUAUCAUUUCUCUCCUUAAACCGAUUUAAGAAAAAAAAUGGAAUCCCUGUAACAUUGGAAUUAUUAGAAGAUGGAGCAUGGUCAAAGGGUAAAACUAAUAAAUAUGCCAGAUUAAACUCUAAGAAUGAUGCUUCUACAAGUUCUGGAUUGGAUACACCAUUACAAAUUCUUGAUGCAAGAACAUUAAUGAAACAACAAGCAUGUGUUUCUUCUACUCCUGGUUCAUCAUUAGAUCUGGAAUGGGAACAUGAAGGAAUGCCUCUACCAAUUAUGGAUGAUGAAAAAGUUGAAAGUACAGAUGGUUCUAUGACACAAACAUCAGUCAAUAAUAGUCAACCCUCUAGCUUGACAGCAUCUCCUUGGUCUAGAGUAUCAACACCAAAUAGUUUAGAAUGGGAUCCGGUAGAAGCGGAUAUGAAAAAACUAGAAUGGAAAAGAAAUGGAUAACCAAGGAAAACGUGAUUAUCGUGCAAGCAAAAAAUGGAUAAGUCGAGUUUUAGUUUAAAAGAGGACAAGCGGAUUUUUGGUUACAUAAUCCUGAAUCACCAUUAUCGUGUCACCCUCGUCGUAACGCAGCUGAAAUGACCAUCACAAUAUCGAACAGCAGUAACAGAUAAUAUACAUUAUGUAUAUUAACUUUACCAAUAGAUCUCCGAUUUUUAUUUUAUUUUCAUCUUCACUUGAUCGUAAUUCUUGCACGCCGCUAUCUAUGUUUGGCUGCCGGAAGUGGCCUUACUCUAUCAUACUUUCCGUUCUUCUAAUAUCUACGGAUCUUUGUAAAUCCAACGUGACUUUCCAUUGCGUGACAAUGGGAGCUUUUCGUCGCGGUAUCCGCCCAUCUUCUCUUUCACUUUUCAUCGAUCCCUAAAGAGAGGAGGUAGAAAAAACAGCGAAAACGACGAGAAAGAUCCGCGACUCGAUCGCGAAACCGCUUUAUUACUAGAAAUAUUAUAUGAUAAGGAGCGUGGCACAGUUUUGACGCUACAAUCGUUCACGGGGCUGGCCACGAUCGAAGAAAAUGGGGACACGACGAAAAGCGCGGGAACGCUUUAACGAAUGAAGAAGGAGUCGGGGAGGCAUUCAGAACUAAAUACAUAACUAGCACAGGAAGCAAUUAAUUUAAAAAGCAAUGAGAAAACAUUGAUAAAAUCGCUUUUGCAUCAAGAGAGAUGGCUGAGAUUCUUAAAAAACAGCGAAUCUUAAAAAAAAGAAAAGUCGAUAUACUAUAAAACGAAAGUUACAUUGCAAGAAACCGACUGAUUAAAAUUAAUUAAAUAUCUAUACUUUGAUCAGAGCUAUAAUUAUGUAAUGAGGGAUAAGUGGUCUUCGUGUGAAGAGGCCGCAAGAAUCAUAAAGGAAUUAUAGUUUGGCACUGAUACCCGUCAGCUUGAACUUAAUACGUUCGCAGAGCUGGAGAGAACCAGCAUUGGGAAGUCACGUAUUCCUAUUCGAUCCUAUUGCUGAUGGACUUUAUGGCACAUCGAAUAUCUUUCUUAAAACGCUUUGAUUCCGUUUCGAAACUAUGGCGUCUCUUGCCUUAUGUAUCUAGCAUACCUUCAAUGAAAAGAAAAGAAAAAAAAAACAAAAACUACAACAUAACUACGAAACAACACUAACAAUUGUCCAUCAUUCGACUGAUUCGAAAUAUAUCUUUUCAGAGACUACAAAAACUCCACUUCCGGCACCAGGUACAAGCAGCGUGUGGCUGUGGCCCAGACUUACGUCGGAUAGUAGCAAGAACACACAUUAAAAUCAUAGAAGAUCAACGCUAUUAGACGUGUUAUGCAAGUAGCUAUCCGCUUUAUUUUCCCUUUAAUUUUCUACAAACCAUUUCACUUGGUUCAAAGAAUAAAUCAGAUCUGCGGAUGCUCUAAUUGGCAUUUCCAUUCUUUUUCUAGUUUAUCAUUUCUCGUCUCGUUUCUUUUGUCUGGUUCACCGAAUACCCAAUACACAAUAUGAAUACAUAUACACGCGGAUUGGUCGAGCGUUUUCCUUUUCUUGGUCUCUCCUCGAGGUAUCCUUAUUUUGUGUUAUUUUAAAAUGCCUUCCUCUCUUAUCGAGAUUUACGCAUCACACGUCCAAAAGGAGCACACAUGUCAUGGUUUAUCAAUGUAAUAUAUAGUAUGCGUUAUAGAUUCUUCAUUCGCGAACGAGGCCCACGAAGCCUCCGCGAGAUUCCUCUCUGUCUCGUCGAGCGUGCCAUUUUGCCAUCGAUCCCUCUCAUCAUUCUCAUCUCUCUGAAUAAAUACUGGAAAGAUGUAGAACUGUCCAAUGGAUAUCGUACGAGCGAAACGAUCGUCGUCCAUAACGAUAGUUGACGAUCGAUUAUGUAUUAUAGAAUCGGCGAACGAGAUUUUAAAAUACCACCCGGGUAGAUUGGUCGGGAUGUGAAGUUAAAACUCUUGGAAGAUGUUCAGUAAGUAAUUAUAGAUCGAGGUUAAAAUUCUUAGAUUCGAAUAUAAUAUAUAUGCGAAUUCUUUUAGGAUGAAAUUGAACGACUUGUUAGUUUAAAGAGAAUUCUCGAAUGUUUAGAACAUUGAUAGAGAUUCUCUCGGGAAAGGUAAGUUCAUUACGAAUUGAUGGGAGGUAAGAGGGAAGAUUGUUAGGCUGUAUUCCUUGGAAACCUUGGUCCAUGAUCGGCACCAGCUAAUUCUUAGUUGGAAUGAUGAUAUUUCAUUACAUCUUAUUUCUUACUCAUGACUAUAAUACAGGAUCAUCUGAUCCUGAUCUAAAAUAAUUCAAUUAUCUAAACUUAAUUAUUCUUCUUGACUAGGAUUAUUCUAUGAUGGCAUAUUCCCUCGAAAAUCAUUUGAAAUUUCACCAAUGGAAUCAGCUGGUCCAGGAUCAAAAGCUAUCGACAAUUUUUGCUGGAAUACAGGGACGAAUAUAGAACUAUUCGCAUCAUAAAAAAACGAUUUGGAUACGAUGGAUCUCCGAUAAACUCGUUUAAAUUCAUUCCAAAA